rnacentral:rRNA from 1 species
UACGAAGGGGGCUAGCGUUGCUCGGAAUCACUGGGCGUAAAGCGUGCGCAGGCGGUCCGCAAAGUCUGAUGUGAAAGCCCCGGGCUCAACCUGGGAACUGCAUUGGAAACUAACGGGCUCGAGUGUGGCAGAGGGGGGUGGAAUUCCACGUGUAGCAGUGAAAUGCGUAGAGAUGUGGAGGAACACCGAUGGCGAAGGCAGCCCCCUGGGCUAACACUGACGCUCAGGCACGAAAGCGUGGGGAGCAAACAGG